ensembl:lncRNA
CAACAGGUAGCAUUCGGCAUUUCCUGUGUGCUGGGCGCUCCACGGGGGCCUGUGCGCUUCCCACAGCUGGGUAUUUCUUGUUGGUUUGUCUCAUAUAGGCCAGGGUGUGGAAUGCUGAAAGGUGGACUCGCAACAAGAAGAUCUGUUUUCUAGGACUGUUUUGGCAAUCACGGGAGGUGAUCAAUAACUGUGCAUGGGAGCAGAUCUGCACCAACGGGUGUGCUCAGAGUCGCACAGUGGGAAGACGGGGCUGCUGUCACCCUUAUUCCUGUGUUAGAGAAGAAACCAAGACUCCGGAGAUCACACAGCCUGUCUGACAGCAGGAGGCAGGCGACAGAACUAGAAACCAGGAUCCAAGCGGUGUGACUGCUGCAGUUCAGGUCUCAAAUGUCCCCAAAGGCCGGAUGUGCCAGGCUGGGCCCCCGGGGGAGUUCGGUCACAGGUUCGUGCCCUUGGAGGACUUUGGGAGCUGCCUCUUUCUCACUCUGCUCCCAGGUCCCCAGAGGGUGAGCAGCUCUCCCAGGACACCUUGUGCCAUGCCAUGCUGCUUCCACAGGCCGAGCACAGGGCUAAGCUGGCUUGGGCAGAACUUUUCAUUUUAAUAAGUUGGCUCCCUCAGGUGUUUUGUUACGGUGAUGGAUAAAAGCAGACUCACCUGGAACCUCCCGAGUGUGGGAAUUACAGGUAUGCACCACCGAGGCCGGCUCAGCAUGGAUUCUAAACUCAUCACCAGGCUGGGAUCCACGCAGAAUGGGGUGAGGAGACCCCGUCGGAGAGUGGGA